AUGAUCUCCUGGACUCAGUUUCUCUGGCUCCUUGUGCUCUGCAUUCAGGACUCCAGCGGGCAGAUCGUGCUGACUCAGACACCAGAAUCCCUGGCAGUGUCUCCAGGAGACACAGUCACUAUCCGCUGCAAAGCCAGUUCCAGCCUCACCAGUGGUAGUUAUCAACGGCUAGCCUGGUACCAACAGAAAUCAGGACAAGCACCUAAGCUCCUCAUCUACAACGCUUCCACGCGUCAAUCUGGGGUCCCAGACCGGUUCAGUGGCAGUGGGUCGGGCACUGACUACACAUUCACCAUCAGCAGGGUUGAAGCAGAUGAUGCUGGAAAUUAUUACUGUAAGCAGCAUUACACCACCCCGGCAAUAGGAGGAGGAACACAGCAAUCAUUGUAUCUGAGCAGUGGUCCAUCAAAUCCAACAUCAUUCUCCAGCUGUGGCCUGUCUCUGCUACCCCAAAGGAAUCAUAUAGGGUUCUACUCCAUGAAGGUGAAACAGACAGCUGAGAUAAAGAUUGAGUCCAAGUGA